rnacentral:lncRNA from 1 species
UGUUACUGUGUAUGUAGAAAACAUUAUAUUUAAUAUAAUACUGAUUGGAAUAUAUAUUCAGAUUCAAUCUUUCUCAUGCAGAGAAAUACAAGAGGAUGAUGAGAAGAAGAGUUGAGCAUUGAUGAAAAGCUGUUAGUGUUUGGAUUGCGAGAAAGCGAAGGAAAAACAGUGACGGAAAUUCCAGAGGCAUCAUAACCACGGAUUGAAGGCGUUUAAGGCCAUUGAAAAGGAUGUGGGAAAUGUAAUUAUUCUUCCUAUUCACUUUGUAGUUCGAAUAUGCAAAUACCCCAUGCAUGUCAUUUCUCUUCCUUCUUUUAUAUUCUCUUUGAUUGUGCUCUACUGCUUUACAAGGCAUACAAACGUAAGCUUUAAAAGCUUCAGAGAGAUUAGAACACAAGUGAAAGAGAUUUGGGAUAAAUGUAUGAUGGUUCCUUUUUUAAUAUCCCUACAUCCAUUUUAAUGCAUGUGUUACGAAUAAAUAAAUGACAAAUGAAAUGGAUGACUACAUGAAUAAAGAUUUUGGAACAAGUUACUUGUAAACAAAGCCAAUCAGGGAAGGCCAAGUCUACAAGUCCCAUACAAAUAAUUUUGACAAUCCUAGAAUAAAGGAAUG